GAUGAACGCUGGCGGCGUGCCUAAUACAUGCAAGUCGAGCGAACGGACGAGAAGCUUGCUUCUCUGAUGUUAGCGGCGGACGGGUGAGUAACACGUGGAUAACCUACCUAUAAGACUGGGAUAACUUCGGGAAACCGGAGCUAAUACCGGAUAAUAUUUUGAACCGCAUGGUUCAAAAGUGAAAGACGGUCUUGCUGUCACUUAUAGAUGGAUCCGCGCUGCAUUAGCUAGUUGGUAAGGUAACGGCUUACCAAGGCAACGAUGCAUAGCCGACCUGAGAGGGUGAUCGGCCACACUGGAACUGAGACACGGUCCAGACUCCUACGGGAGGCAGCAGUAGGGAAUCUUCGGCAAUGGGCGAAAGCCUGACGGAGCAACGCCGCGUGAGUGAUGAAGGUCUUCGGAUCGUAAAACUCUGUUAUUAGGGAAGAACAUAUGUGUAAGUAACUGUGCACAUCAUGACGGUACCUAAUCAGAAAGCCACGGCUAACUACGUG
rnacentral:rRNA from 1 species